rnacentral:rRNA from 1 species
GGGGAAUAUUGGGCAAUGGGCGAAAGCCUGACCCAGCAACGCCGCGUGAGGGAAGAAGGUUUUCGGAUUGUAAACCUCUGUCGCAGGGGAAGAAAGAAAUGACGGUACCCUGUGAGGAAGCCCCGGCUAACUACGUGCCAGCAGCCGCGGUAAGACGUAGGGGGCAAGCGUUGUCCGGAAUUACUGGGCGUAAAGGGUGCGUAGGCGGCAAUUCAAGUCUGAUGUGAAAUACCCGUGCUUAACAUGGGGGUUGCAUCGGAAACUGAAUAGCUAGAGUGCAGGAGAGGUAAGCGGAAUUCCUAGUGUAGCGGUGAAAUGCAUAGAUAUUAGGAGGAACACCAGUGGCGAAGGCGGCUUACUGGACUGUAACUGACGCUGAAGCACGAAAGCGUGGGGAGCAAAC